rnacentral:rRNA from 1 species
UACGUAGGGGGCUAGCGUUGUCCGGAAUCAUUGGGCGUAAAGAGCGUGUAGGCGGCUCGGUAAGUCCGCUGUGAAAGUCCAGGGCUCAACCCUGGAAUGCCAGUGGAAACUGUCGAGCUAGAGUCCGGAAGAGGCGAGUGGAAUUCCUGGUGUAGCGGUGAAAUGCGCAGAUAUCAGGAGGAACACCAAUGGCGAAGGCAGCUCGCUGGGACGGUACUGACGCUGAGGAGCGAAAGCUAGGGGAGCAAACGGG